GAGACAGCAGUAGCCGCGGUAAUACAGAGGUCCCGAGCGUUGUUCGGAUUCACUGGGCGUAAAGGGUGUGUAGGAGGUUGGAUAAGUCAGGUGUGAAAUCCCGCAGCUCAACUGCGGAACUGCAUUCGAUACUGUUCAACUAGAGGAUCGGAGGGGGAAGCGGAAUUCUUGGUGUAGCGGUGAAAUGCGUAGAUAUCAAGAGGAACACCGGUGGCGAAGGCGGCUUCCUGGAAGAUACCUGACUCUGAAACACGAAAGCCAGGGGAGCGAAUGGGAUUAGAUACCCCCGUAGUCCCUGUCUCUUAUAC
rnacentral:rRNA from 1 species